rnacentral:rRNA from 1 species
AAUAAACGUUCGGCGGCGUGCUUAACACAUGCAAGUCGCGCGAGAAAGCUCCUUCGGGAGCAAGUAAAGCGGCGGACGGGUGCGUAACACGUGAGAAUUUGCCCUUUAGUGAAGAAUACCCACGAGAAAUUGUGGUUAAUGCUGCAUGAGUUCCUUCGGGAAGAAAGGUGGCUUUAUGCUACCGCUAAAGGAUGAGCUUGCGGGCUAUUAGCUAGUUGGUAGGGUAAAGGCCUACCAAGGCGAUGAUGGCUAGCCGGCCUGAGAGGGUGUACGGCCACAUUGGGACUGAGAUACGGCCCAGACUCCUACGGGAGGCAGCAGUGAGAAAUAUUGCGCAAUGGGCGAAAGCCUGACGCAGCGACGCCGCGUGGAGGAUGACGGUCUUAGGAUUGUAAACUCCUGUUAAGCGGGAAGAAAACUCAAUCUCUAAUACAGAUUGAGUAUGACGGUACCGCUAGAGAAAGCACCGGCUAACUUCGUGCCAGCAGCCGCGGUAAUAC